GGACUUUUCACUUGAUACAGGCCAAUAAGCCGUGCAAGCGAGCGAGAUACUCUAAUGGCGGUAAGCUCCAACGAGGAUAAUACUAGUUUUAAUACAGAUUAAAAUAAAUCCGAGAUUAAUUUUAAUACCCUAUUUGUUUCGUUCAAAUUUGUGAAAUGGAAAAUCGUGGAGGUUGGUGCCUGGUCAGUAUUUUCCAAGAGCGUUCCGGGAUCACAUUCCGGUUAAAUGAAAGGCCAGCGGUGGAAAAGGGUCAAGGAUACACUUGCCAAACGGUCCAGCAUUUAUACCACUGAAACCAAUCGUCUACGAAGGAUGCGGUACAGAAGGCGUUUAGCGGACUAGGCUGUCCCGAUUUUUAAAAAGUGGUAUAGAGUUUUUGGAGCAGCUGAAGUUGAAGAGAUUGUCCUCGGUCCGGAUGACGGAAAUCAAUAGAACCAGUCUCAUGAAUCGUGUCUGACAGGACAAUGCAGCGGAGCAGGAUAUUUUGCAUGAAAAAGGUUGACGGUCGAUGUGGAGUAUGUGGCCAAACAGCGCGCGAAGGAAUAUCACCGCCGUGGAUCGGUACUCGCAACAUUCGCAGCAAAAUUAUUGCAAAGUGUUAUUCACAGCUAUGAUCCCAGAAAACUAAAUAAAUAAUAGAUCAAUCGCUUAAAAAAAGUGGUUAUUCAGUUCUAA